UAGUCCACGCCGUAAACGAUGGUCACUAGCUGUCCGGACUUCGGUCUGGGUGGCUAAGCGAAAGUGAUAAGUGACCCACCUGGGGAGUACGUUCGCAAGAAUGAAACUCAAAGGAAUUGACGGGGGCCCGCACAAGCGGUGGAGCAUGUGGUUUAAUUCGAUGAUACGCGAGGAACCUUACCAGGGCUUAAAUGUAAGUUGCAUAGAUCAGAGAUGGUCUUUUCUUCGGACCACUUACAAGGUGCUGCAUGGUUGUCGUCAGCUCGUGCCGUGAGGUGUCAGGUUAAGUCCUAUAACGAGCGCAACCCCUGUUGUUAGUUGCCAGCGAGUGAAGUCGGGAACUCUAACAAGACUGCCGGUGCAAACCGCGAGGAAGGUGGGGAUGACGUCAAAUCAUCACGGGCCCUUACGUCCUGGGGCUACACACGUGCUACAAUGGCCGGUACAGAGAGCAGCCACACCGCAA
rnacentral:rRNA from 1 species